rnacentral:pre_miRNA from 1 species
GAGUUACUCCCUCCGAUCCAUAUUACUUGUCGAAAUAUUACAGUAUCUAGACGCUUUUUAGACAUAGAUAAAUUCAUAUUUGUGCAAAUUUGAGAUAAGUAAUAUGGGUCGGAGGGAGUACUAG